UGACCGCUGGCGGCAGGCCUAACACAUGCAAGUCGAGCGGAUGAAGGGAGCUUGCUCCUGGAUUCAGCGGCGGACGGGUGAGUAAUGCCUAGGAAUCUGCCUGGUAGUGGGGGAUAACGUCCGGAAACGGGCGCUAAUACCGCAUACGUCCUGAGGGAGAAAGUGGGGGAUCUUCAGACCUCACGCUAUCAGAUGAGCCUAGGUCGGAUUAGCUAGUUGGUGGGGUAAAGGCCUACCAAGGCGACGAUCCGUAACUGGUCUGAGAGGAUGAUCAGUCACACUGGAACUGAGACACGGUCCAGACUCCUACGGGAGGCAGCAGUGGGGAAUAUUGGACAAUGGGCGAAAGCCUGAUCCAGCCAUGCCGCGUGUGUGAAGAAGGUCUUCGGAUUGUAAAGCACUUUAAGUUGGGAGGAAGGGCAGUAAGUUAAUACCUUGCUGUUUUGACGUUACCAACAGAAUAAGCACCGGCUAACUUCGUG
rnacentral:rRNA from 1 species